GAUGAACGCUGGCGGCGUGCUUAACACAUGCAAGUCGAACGAAGCAUUUAGAACGGAUUACUUCGGUUUGAAGUUCUUUAUGGCUGAGUGGCGGACGGGUGAGUAACGCGUGGGUAACCUGCCUUGUACUGGGGGAUAGCAGCUGGAAACGGCUGGUAAUACCGCAUAAGCGCACAAUGUUGCAUGACAUGGUGUGAAAAACUCCGGUGGUAUAAGAUGGACCCGCGUCUGAUUAGCUAGUUGGUGAGAUAACAGCCCACCAAGGCGACGAUCAGUAGCCGACCUGAGAGGGUGACCGGCCACAUUGGGACUGAGACACGGCCCAGACUCCUACGGGAGGCAGCAGUGGGGAAUAUUGCACAAUGGAGGAAACUCUGAUGCAGCGACGCCGCGUGAGUGAAGAAGUAAUUCGUUAUGUAAAGCUCUAUCAGCAGGGAAGAUAGUGACGGUACCUGACUAAGAAGCUCCGGCUAAAUACGUGCCAGCCGCCGCAGUAA
rnacentral:rRNA from 1 species